GAACGCGUGGCGGCAUGCCUUACACAUGACAAGUCGAACGGCAGCGACGGGAGCAAUCCGUGGUGGCGAGUGGCGAACGGGUGAGUAAUGUAUCGGAACGUUACCUUCGAGGUGGGGAUAACGUAGCGAAAGUUACGCUAAUACCGCAUAUUCUGUGAGCAGGAAAGCAGGGGAUCGCAAGACCUUGCGCUGAUUGAGCGGCCGAUAUCAGAUUAGCUAGUUGGUGAGGUAAAGGCUCACCAAGGCGACGAUCUGUAGCGGGUCUGAGAGGAUGAUCCGCCACACUGGAACUGAGACACGGUCCAGACUCCUACGGGAGGCAGCAGUGGGGAAUUUUGGACAAUGGGCGCAAGCCUGAUCCAGCCAUGCCGCGUGAGUGAAGAAGGCCUUCGGGUUGUAAAGCUCUUUCGGCCGGGAAGAAAUCGCACAGGUUAAUACCCUGUGUGGAUGACGGUACCGGAAUAAGAAGCACCGGCUAACUACGUG
rnacentral:rRNA from 1 species